GCAAGAAUGGCGAAAUUGGAUAAACGCGCUAGACUUAGGAUCUAGUGUCAAAAGACGCUGUAGGUUCAAGUCCUACUUCUUGCA
rnacentral:tRNA from 1 species